rnacentral:lncRNA from 1 species
UGGACUUUCUAAAGUCACUAUUAUGACUGAACUCUACUGGGACCAAAUUAACAUGGCAAGGUGCUCUGUUCUUUUCUUAGAGGAGUCCACCCAGCCGUUCAGUCUGCUGCUGACAGGAGUGCCUGGAGCAACCAGACUUGGAUGGGAGAUGCUGGUGUGCCCUAAAAGAUCAGAAUAUGAGCCAGAUGCUUGCAUGGAGAAGAUUUGAACAGAUUGGUUGAAUAAAUACUCCUGUGUCUUGUACUGCUGCAGGUGAAUAUGAUGAAACUGGAGCCUGGGAGACACUUUCUGUGACAUGCUAGUCUCUUCAGGAAUUAGUGGGAUGUCGCUUUGAAAAUGUGACAUGAUAGAAACUGAUGAUUUUCAAAUGUUCACAGCAGAGCUGGAGCUAAUUGAGGACCACUGGCCAGGGGGCAGCAGUGGCAGGACCACCCAGCCUGGCUGCGGGCAUCCUGCAGCUGAGCUGCUUCAGCGAGGCAAAAUGGAGGCAUGUCUUCCUAGCAGCGUGCAGAAACCUCAGCAAAGAAGCAGUCUGGUUCUCAUGGCAACCAGGAUUUCCAUAUACUGCAGGGGUACACACAGUCUGACAUCACUUUGCUGCAGGGAGGAUUUCUGUGCAUACUCAAGGACUAAAUUAAGCUCUCUGUAAAUGAAGAAUGUGUGUCCAUUUUCAUAUAUGUAUGUUUUUCUUUCUGUGAAAGGGAGAAUAAUAGGGAAAUAAAAGAGGAUGCAAAAUCA